GCACUCACGCCACUACCCGCCCGGGCACCCUGGGGGCGCGCGGGACGAUUUGGGGCUCGACCUCCUGGUUCCUCCCAGCAGCCUGCCGGCCGGCUGCCCGCAGCUCCAAAGCCCUCAAAGCCAGCGCGCUCCUGGGCCCGAGGUCCCCAAAUCUCUCACAGACGAGCCCCGGAACACCGCUCCUUUAUUGGAGCUGUCCAAGGGGGACAAGCAGAUGUGGACAGCCUGCGGCGCCUCCCACCGAGCCACCCCCGACCCAGCCCUACCCGUGGCAAAUAGCGUGGCUCACCGGGUGCCUUGUAAAAGCAGAGCAGAAACAACUCUGGUGUGCCCUGAAAGGACACGAGUCCAUCACUAAACUAGGAGCUCGCCAUUUUGGCAAACUGGUCGGCAAGUGAGCUCUGAGAAGCUGCUUUUCUCUACUGCCCCACCUCCAGUGCUGGGCUUUAAGAUGCUCAUCAGCCACGCUCAGCUUUUCCAGGGGUGCUAAGGAUGCAACCUCAGGCCCUCCUGCUCCGACCGGAGCCCUCUCCCCAACCCCCACCAGCUCCUCCACCUUUCCCGCCUAAUUGAAGAAUAAACUCAUUCAUUCGCCUUCUCUCUGAUAAA